GAUGAAGAACGUAGCGAAAUGCGAUACUUGGUGUGAAUUGCAGAAUCCCGUGAACCAUCGAGUCUUUGAACGCAAGUUGCGCCCGAAGCCUCGGCUAAGGGCACGUCUGCCUGGGCGUCACGCAUCGCGUCUCCCCCAAACCGCCAAGGCGGAGGGGAAGGAAGAUGGCUUCCCGUGCCUCACCCGGCGCGGUUGGCCUAAAUUUGGAGCCCGCGGCACUUAGCUCUCGCGGCGAUAGGUGGUGAAUAAGGCCUUGGCCGUGCAAACAACCCGCUGCGAAGCUCUAUGUCACGUGCGCGCGUCGGACCCUUUGAAGUUGCCUUCGGUGACUUAAAACCUUUGCGACCCCAUGUCAGGCGGGGCUACCCGCUGAAUUUAAGCAUAUCAAUAAGCGGAGGA
rnacentral:misc_RNA from 1 species